rnacentral:rRNA from 1 species
UCGGGAAUUUUGGGCAAUGGGCGAAAGCCUGACCCAGCAACGCCGCGUGAAGGAUGAAGUAUUUCGGUAUGUAAACUUCGUAAGAAUAGGAAGAAUAAAUGACGGUACUAUUUGUAAGGUCCGGCUAACUACGUGCCAGCAGCCGCGGUAAUACGUAGGGACCAAGCGUUGUUCGGAUUUACUGGGCGUAAAGGGCGCGUAGGCGGUGUGUCAAGUCAGUUGUGAAAUCUCCGAGCUUAACUCGGAACGGUCAACUGAUACUGUCACACUAGAGUACAGAAGGGGCAAUCGGAAUUCUUGGUGUAGCGGUGAAAUGCGUAGAUAUCAAGAGGAACACCUGAGGCGAAGGCGGGUUGCUGGGCUGAUACUGACGCUGAAGCGCGAAAGCUGGGGUAGCAAACGGGAUUAGAUACCCACGUAGUCCCUGAGCGGGCUGGCAAGGCGCAU